rnacentral:rRNA from 1 species
GAUACCCGAAUGGGGAAACCCAGUGUGAUUCGUCACACUAUCAUUAACUGAAUCCAUAGGUUAAUGAGGCGAACCGGGGGAACUGAAACAUCUAAGUACCCCGAGGAAAAGAAAUCAACCGAGAUUCCCCCAGUAGCGGCGAGCGAACGGGGAGGAGCCCAGAGCCUGAAUCAGCAUGUGUGUUAGUGGAAGCGUCUGGAAAGGCGCGCGAUACAGGGUGACAGCCCCGUACACAAAAGCGCAUGUGCUGUGAGCUCGAUGAGUAGGGCGGGACACGUGGUAUCCUGUCUGAAUAUGGGGGGACCAUCCUCCAAGGCUAAAUACUCCUGACUGACCGAUAGUGAACCAGUACCGUGAGGGAAAGGCGAAAAGAACCCCGGCGAGGGGAGUGAAAAAGAACCUGAAACCGUGUACGUACAAGCAGUGGGAGCCCCACCACCAAAGCAUUUGCUGUACCGCGUUGACGGAGCGAAGCGACGUCAAACCGAUAAAACAGCAGUGUAAAGUGAGCCGCAGGGCGCUUUGCGCGACAGCGCAAAGGCAGGCGGUUUCGCGUAGCGAAAGCGAAUGCUUUGGGGUGGGGUGACUGCGUACCUUUUGUAUAAUGGGUCAGCGACUUAUAUUCUGUAGCAAGGUUAACCGAAUAGGGGAGCCGGAGGGAAACCGAGUCUUAAUUGGGCGUUAAGUUGCAGGGUAUAGACCCGAAACCCGGUGAUCUAGCCAUGGGCAGGUUGAAGGUUGGGUAACACUAACUGGAGGACCGAACCGACUAAUGUUGAAAAAUUAGCGGAUGACCUGUGGCUGGGGGUGAAAGGCCAAUCAAACCGGGAGAUAGCUGGUUCUCCCCGAAAGCUAUUUAGGUAGCGCCUCGUGAAUUCAUCUCCGGGGGUAGAGCACUGUUUCGGCUAGGGGGCCAUCCCGGCUUACCAACCCGAUGCAAACUGCGAAUACCGGAGAAUGUUAUCACGGGAGACACACGGCGGGUGCUAACGUCCGUCGUGAAGAGGGAAACAACCCAGACCGCCAGCUAAGGUCCCAAAGUCAUGGUUAAGUGGGAAACGAUGUGGGAAGGCCCAGACAGCCAGGAUGUUGGCUUAGAAGCAGCCAUCAUUUAAAGAAAGCGUAAUAGCUCACUGGUCGAGUCGGCCUGCGCGGAAGAUGUAACGGGGCUAAACCAUGCACCGAAGCUGCGGCAGCGACACUGUGUGUUGUUGGGUAGGGGAGCGUUCUGUAAGCCUGUGAAGGUGUGUCGUGAGGCAUGCUGGAGGUAUCAGAAGUGCGAAUGCUGACAUAAGUAACGAUAAAGCGGGUGAAAAGCCCGCUCGCCGGAAGACCAAGGGUUCCUGUCCAACGUUAAUCGGGGCAGGGUGAGUCGACCCCUAAGGCGAGGCCGAAAGGCGUAGUCGAUGGGAAACGGGUUAAUAUUCCCGUACUUGGUGUUACUGCGAAGGGGGGACGGAGAAGGCUAUGUUGGCCGGGCGACGGUUGUCCCGGUUUAAGCGUGUAGGUGUGUGUUCCAGGUAAAUCCGGUUCACUUUAACACUGAGGCGUGACGACGAGGCACUACGGUGCUGAAGCAACAAAUGCCCUGCUUCCAGGAAAAGCCUCUAAGCAUCAGGUAACAUCAAAUCGUACCCCAAACCGACACAGGUGGUCAGGUAGAGAAUACCAAGGCGCUUGAGAGAACUCGGGUGAAGGAACUAGGCAAAAUGGUGCCGUAACUUCGGGAGAAGGCACGCUGACACGUAGGUGAAGUGAUUUACUCAUGGAGCUGAAGUCAGUCGAAGAUACCAGCUGGCUGCAACUGUUUAUUAAAAACACAGCACUGUGCAAACACGAAAGUGGACGUAUACGGUGUGACGCCUGCCCGGUGCCGGAAGGUUAAUUGAUGGGGUCAGCGCAAGCGAAGCUCCUGAUCGAAGCCCCGGUAAACGGCGGCCGUAACUAUAACGGUCCUAAGGUAGCGAAAUUCCUUGUCGGGUAAGUUCCGACCUGCACGAAUGGCGUAAUGAUGGCCAGGCUGUCUCCACCCGAGACUCAGUGAAAUUGAACUCGCUGUGAAGAUGCAGUGUACCCGCGGCAAGACGGAAAGACCCCGUGAACCUUUACUAUAGCUUGACACUGAACAUUGAGCCUUGAUGUGUAGGAUAGGUGGGAGGCUUUGAAGUGUGGACGCCAGUCUGCAUGGAGCCGACCUUGAAAUACCACCCUUUAAUGUUUGAUGUUCUAACGUGGACCCGUUACCCGGGUUGCGGACAGUGUCUGGUGGGUAGUUUGACUGGGGCGGUCUCCUCCUAAAGAGUAACGGAGGAGCACGAAGGUUGGCUAAUCCUGGUCGGACAUCAGGAGGUUAGUGCAAUGGCAUAAGCCAGCUUGACUGCGAGCGUGACGGCGCGAGCAGGUGCGAAAGCAGGUCAUAGUGAUCCGGUGGUUCUGAAUGGAAGGGCCAUCGCUCAACGGAUAAAAGGUACUCCGGGGAUAACAGGCUGAUACCGCCCAAGAGUUCAUAUCGACGGCGGUGUUUGGCACCUCGAUGUCGGCUCAUCACAUCCUGGGGCUGAAGUAGGUCCCAAGGGUAUGGCUGUUCGCCAUUUAAAGUGGUACGCGAGCUGGGUUUAGAACGUCGUGAGACAGUUCGGUCCCUAUCUGCCGUGGGCGCUGGAGAACUGAGGGGGGCUGCUCCUAGUACGAGAGGACCGGAGUGGACGCAUCACUGGUGUUCGGGUUGUCAUGCCAAUGGCACUGCCCGGUAGCUAAAUGCGGAAGAGAUAAGUGCUGAAAGCAUCUAAGCACGAAACUUGCCCCGAGAUGAGUUCUCCCUGAGACUUAAAGUCUCCUGAAGGAACGUUGAAGACGACGACGUUGAUAGGCCGGGUGUGUAAGCGCAGCGAUGCGUUGAGCUAACCGGUAC